AUACGGAGGUGGCGAGCGUUAUCCGGAAUUACUGGGUGUAAAGGGUGUGUAGGCGGGAAGGCAAGUCGGAUGUGAAAAUUAUGGGCUCAACCCAUAAAGUGCGACCGAAACUGUUUUUCUUGAGGAUCGGAGAGGUAAUGAGAAUUCCCGGUGUAGCGGUGAAAUGCGCAGAGAUCGGGAGGAAUACCGGUGGCGAAGGCGAAUUACUGGACGAUAACUGACGCUGAGACACGAAAGCGUGGGGAGCAAACAGGAUUAGAUACCCUAGUAGUCCACGCUGUAAACGAUGACAACUAAAUAUUGCCGCGAGGCAGUGUUGAAGCUAACGCAUUAAGUUGUCCGCCUGGGGAGUACGGUCGCAAGACUGAAACUUAAAGGAAUUGACGGGU
rnacentral:rRNA from 1 species